CUCAAAUUUGAAAUCUGGCUGUCUUCGAUAGUCCGAGUUGUAAUCUAUAGAAGCGUUUUCCGUGCUGAACUGUGUCUAAGUCCCUUGGAACAGGGUAUCAAAGAGGGUGAUAAUCCCGUACUUGACACAAUCAUCAGUGCUCUGUGAUACGUUCUCUACGAGUCGAGUUGUUUGGGAAUGCAGCUCAAAAUGGGUGGUAAAUUCCAUCUAAAGCUAAAUAUUGGCGAGAGACCGAUAGCGAACAAGUACCGUGAGGGAAAGAUGAAAAGCACUUUGGAAAGAGAGUUAAACAGUACGUGAAAUUGUUGAAAGGGAAACGAUUGAAGUCAGUCGUGUUCAUUGGAUUCAGCUAGUUCUUCUAGUCUACUUCCUUUGAACGGGUCAACAUCAGUUUUGUCCGGUGGAUAAAGGAUUUAGGAAUGUGACUCCCUCGGGAGUGUUAUAGCCUAGGUUCACAUACACUGGGUGAGACUGAGGACUGCAGCUCGCCUUUUGGCCGGGGUUCGCCCACGUUCGAGCUUAGGAUGUUGACAUAAUGGCUUUAAACGAC
rnacentral:rRNA from 1 species